rnacentral:tRNA from 3 species
GCCUGGGUAGCUCAGUUGGUAGAGCAUUUCCCUGAAGAGGAAGGGGUCGCCAGUUCGAUCCUGGCCCCAGGCA